UACGGGGGGAGCAAGCGUUGUUCGGAUUUACUGGGCGUAAAGGGCGCGUAGGCGGUCGUGACAAGUCACUUGUGAAAUCUCCGGGCUUAACUCGGAACGGUCAAGUGAUUCUGUCGGACUAGAGUACAGAAGGGGCAACUGGAAUUCUCGGUGUAGCGGUGAAAUGCGUAGAUAUCGAGAGGAACACCUGCGGCGAAGGCGGGUUGCUGGGCUGAUACUGACGCUGAGGCGCGAAAGCCAGGGGAGCGAACGGG
rnacentral:rRNA from 1 species